AUUGAACGCUAGCGGGGUGCUUUACACAUGCAAGUCGAACGAGUGGCGGACGGGUGAGUAAUAUAUCGGAACGUGCCCAGUGGCGGGGGAUAACUACUCGAAAGAGUGGAUAAUACCGCAUACUAUUGGAUCGGCCGAUAUGGGAUUAGCUAGUUGGUGGGGUAAAGGCUCACCAAGGCAACGAUCCGUAGCUGGUUUGAGAGGACGACAGGCCCCACUGUGACUGAGACACGGCCCAGACUCCUACGGGAGGCAGCAGUGGUGAAUUUUGGACAAUGGGCGAAACCCUGAUCCAGCCAUCCCGCGUGUAUGAGAAGGCCUUCGGGUUGUAAAGUACUUUGGGCUGAGAGGCGGUAUCUGCAGAAUAAGCACAGGCUAACUCCGUGCCAGCAGCCGCGGUAAUAC
rnacentral:rRNA from 1 species